UUAAAUGAUAUAGUACUAAAGUCGGUUUUUCAUUCACUUACAACUGCAGUUCUUCCAAACAUUUCUCAAAAAAUGCCAUGGAUUUUACAAAGGUGAUAAAAAUUUGAGGCUCCAUACCAAUUAACACUGUAGCAUUUUGCCAGAAAAUUUUCCAUUUUUUUUUUUUGCUUUUUUUUAAUUAUCCCAACAAUUUAACAAGAAAAUCUUUUAAAAAUUCCACAAGGGUCUAUGAGUUCUUCUAGUAACCGGGUGACUUAAAAACUUACACAAGUUUCAUCAGAAAUUGCUUUUAAAUUUGCUUUAGAAAUACCUCACGAAUUGAACAUUUUCUCAAAUUUCUGAAAAUUUUCAUUCACAUUUCCAAAUCUUCAAAGACUUCCUUGAAAAAUCUUAAAGAAUUACUGUACGAAUUCCUAUAGAAAUCUGAGUAAUUCCUGGAAUUAUUUUUAGCAAAUCUGUCAAGGAAAUCACUAUCAAGGCUUAAAAUUUGCUGAUUUCGACUGGCCGACUGCGAUACAACUCAGAUCAUUCUGUAUACUAUCAACAUCAUGCUGGUUAUUCCGUCACCAGUGCACUGAUGGUGAUAGAAUAUGGAUAUCACUGAAAGGUUAAGUUCAAUCUUAAAUUGAGCUAAUAAAUCGGCAACUUAUCAGUACAUUAAGGGUAUUCACUUAAUGGCGUAAAUCUCCGCGUAAAGUGUGUAUAAUUGGUAAUUUUAAACAUUUCACGGCAUAGCCUCAACAGCAAAUGAAAUAUUUCAGAUUGUUCAAAUCUGGUAUCCAAGAGCGCCUUGGUGAUGAUUACAAAACAAAUGUCAACAAAAUAAUUACAAACGAAUUCGAUUCCGUCGGUUUUCAUAGGUUUUCACCGUUUUAGCAAAUCAAAGGAAAUUCGGAGAAAUGCUUGUGGCUAAACAAUGACUUCCGAUUGAGGCUCUAGGAGCAGUCAUUUGCAUACUACUGAUCGAGGCUACGUGGAACCAGAUGCAAAAACUGUUACCUUCUGAUACUGGGUACUGUUCGCAAGAGUUUUAUCUGUUAUUUUAUUGGGUUGAUUCGUAUUGGAUUUGCGACAGUACCUGUGAGGUUACUGGACGAAACCGAACAAUUUAAUUGCAAGCGGUUAUCCACUGAAAUACAAAUUUGUAAAACUAAGAUAAUUCUUACUUUUGCACAUAUAUGUUGAACGUCAAUAAACAAAAUUGCAAACCGUAAUGAAACUUUUAGUCUGAAAGCCUUUGCGCUUAUGCGGAAAUUCUGCCUCCCGUUUAGCGCAUGAAUCAAAGCGGGUCCUCAACACGAAAUCGGUAUCAAAUGCAGUCUUCAAGCGUUUACGAACUUACAAGUUGAGGUUUAUUAGUUAGGAGAAUAAAGAAAAUUUAAUUAGACAAAAAAAAAAUAACAGUCAUUCAGCCAAGCUUCAUAUGCACGUUUGGUCGUUUACAAAAAUCUUCGCACAUCAUAUCACUGCUAUUUACUUCCAACCUCCAAUCCGAAUCCAACAUCACUCGUCCAGUACAAAAUGGUACACCAUUGAUCCGUAAAACCAUAUUUAGGACAUUGAAUUGAUCCUUCGUAUCCAAUAUAUUUCAAUCAUUCCACUAUAACAUGAUCAGAACUGAACAGCAAAGAUAACGAAUUUUCAAUGUACCUGACGCAUAAACAGCUGAGUUUUGUUCUCAAAUGUCAAAAUGGGAAUAUUUCGUUUGAAAUAAGUCAUUACAAUUAAUACGCGGUUUCAGUUUUACGCUGUUUUACGCAACUUUAAGUGAAUACCCCUAAUAUUUUUGACAGUGCUGUGGAUGGAUGGCAACUAGGGUAAAUCGCCAAAUGUUGAACGGUUAAGAUAGACGUUUUUAUGUUAUUUGAUUUUAAUGGAAAUUCUGAUAGAAAGGUUGCUAAAAAAAGCAUUCAACACCGUAGGAGAUUGUUCAACAUUAUUCCUGUUACAUUGUUGGCACUGUAAUGUCCAUUUUGAAAUAAAAAAUAUAUAUUUGAAAAGAUAGUUCUAUACCCAAUUGUUGAACACAUACAUAACCCAUUUUAUCCUAAUGUUGAACGAUUGUCGCUAAAUGUUGACCGCUUUACUCCCGCAUUCAUUCAACUUGCAAGUUCGUGCUCCUCGUCGAUUGUGAGGACAAGCAAAGCACUUUCCCUGACCACUCUGGGCUGAGACGGAAGUGAAUCGUCCUCUUCGGCACUUCAUAGACUUUAGCGGCUUCUCCUAAUGUACAUUACCUUCGACAUUACAGCAUCAAUCGCGAGAUUGAGGUUAUACUCCAAAUAAAUCGGCAGCCGAUACGCAAUUUCAAUCAUGAUGUAAACAAACAAACGGUGAUGGCAUUGAUGCCAUAGUGAAGAUAGUGAAAUUCGAAAAAGAUUCAGGAUAAAGCCAGGGAUGCAAUUAAUUAUACUUUACUGAAUUGCGUUUUUCAUCAUUGCAACAGGCACCAUUAUAGGGUUUUUUUUAAUAAUAAUGAUUCAACAGAUAUUUAAAGCAAUAAACAAUACUAUAUUGUGUAAUGCAAUAAUCAAUUUCAAUAUAGGUGUUUGCUACGAAAAUAAAAAAAUCAGGCAAUACUGUUGAUGAAAUCAAGACUGUCAUGUUAUGUUAGUGUUCAACAAAUGGAAAAUGUACGUGAAACGAAAGUGCAAUUGAAAAUGUUUUUAUGUAAUUAAUAGGUACGAGUAAAUUGUACGGAUGUUUAGAAAAUAACUAAAGUAGACUUUUACUGAUAUCGUGAAUAGGUGCUUAACCCAAUAUACGUAGUAUGUUUUACUACACAGCUUAUUUCAUAGCAGCCCCAGCUUAAGUUUUUUUCUAAGAGAAUUGAAAUUCUCGUUUCACCUACCGAUAAAAAUUUUCAAUAAAUAUUUCGUUUAAGACAUUAAUAAUGUGCUAAUUAAAUGUAUUGUGUCCAAUAGUACAGCUUAUCUCCAAAAUAGUAUGUAAAAUGAUUCAAUUUUCUGUUUUAACAUGGUUUCUACAGAUCGUUCAACAUUUGGGUAGCGUUCAACAAUUAGCGAAUUACCCUAUUUGUUGGUCACUGAAAAACAUUAAAAGCUUGAAUAAUUAUCACGUGAUCACUCAUUCUGCAGUGAUUAUGAUCUAGAGGGCGGUGUCGCUUCACUGCUGUUGGUUGUCAAAUCAAAAUGAUAUUGAUAGCUCGAUAGUGAUAUUGAUAGUUUUAGGCAAUCAGCCAUCAGUUGAUAUGACUGAAAUUGUACAACUCUGAAAAUUUGAAGUUAAAAUCUUAAAGAAAUAAUGAAGGACAAUUUUUAAGAAAUCCUUAGAGGCAUCUUUGGAGAAACUUCUGGUUGAAUUUUUGAAGAAGUUCUAAACGGAAGUCUUAGAGGAUGACCUAGGAAAAUCGAUGGAACAAUCACUGGAUAAAGAAUCAGUAAAGACAUUCCAGACGAUCUCUGCGUUAACUUCUGCGGUUAUAUUUGGCAAAAACCAGGUUGUGUUUUUGAGAUAUCUAAAACAAAAUUCUUUUACGAAUUCCUUAGGAAAAUUCUCGAAGGGAUUCCAUAGGCAAUAAUCACUACAUGAACUCCUGGAGACAUUUAAAAGGUGAGCUAGUCUCGUGUUGAAAAUCUCACAAAUAAAGAAAUCCAUCCAUCUAGCCUGAGUGAAUCUUCGGAGUAACAUCUUGAUCUUUGGGCAAAUACUUGAAAUAAUUUCUGGUGAAAUUCCUUGAGAAAAUAAUUGAAAAAUUUGUUGAAAAACAUGUUUUACGGCAUGUAAAUUUAAUUGUGAAAUAUUGUCACAAACAUCUGUAAGUGUUUUUUUCGCCCAUUUAGCUGUCUUAAGUAUCUAAACUGCGCAUGAAUACCAUUUGAGAUUUCUUCACCAAACGCGGGCCAAAAAUGAAUAGUGCAUUAUCUGUUUUUGCACAAGUACGCUAUAAUCAAUAAACUUUAAGGGUUAAGCAUACUGAAGCACUUUAAAGUUCCGUUUAGUUUACAAUAAUGAUCAGAGCUCUCACAAGCGAUAUAAAAAUGAGUCUUCUCAUCAAAUACAAUUAAGGCUUUGUAUCAAAUACAAUUCAGUUGACAAAAACUUAAGCUUCGAUAUUGUUCCACCUUAAAAUAGCUUCAA